rnacentral:rRNA from 2 species
GCUGGGUGCUAUACUGCAGUCGAGCGAUCGAUGGGAGCUUGCUCCCUGAGAUUAGCGGCGGACGGGUGAGUAACACGUGGGCAACCUGCCUAUAAGACUGGGAUAACUUCGGGAAACCGGAGCUAAUACCGGAUACGUUCUUUUCUCGCAUGAGAGAAGAUGGAAAGACGGCCUCUACUGGUCCCUUAUAAAGGGGCCCGCGCCGCAUUACUUAUUUGGGGAGGUAUGGGUUCACCAGGGCAACAAGGCUUACCCAACCGGAAAGGGGGACCGGCCACCCGGGAACGAAAACCCGGCCCAAAUCCCUACGGAAGGCACCAUUAGGGAACCUUCCCCAUGGAACAAAAGUCGAACGAACCACCCCCCCGGGAACAAAAAAGGCCUUCGGGCCGAAAAGUUCGGUGGUUAGGGAAAACCAGUUACCAAAUUACCGGCGGGAACCUUGACGGACCCUAACCAAAAAGCCCCGGUUAAUUACUUGCCACCACCCCCGGUAUUACUUAGGGGGCAGGCGUUGUCCGGAUUUAUGGGCCGUAAAGCGCGCGCAGGGGGUUCCUUAAUUCUAAGGUGAAACCCCACGGUUCACCCGGGAAGGGCCUUUGAAAAUUGGGAAAUUUGAUUGCAAAAAAGAAAAGGGAAAUUCCAAUGGAACCGUUAAAUUGCUUAAAAAUUUGAAGAACCACCAUGGCCAAAGGCAAUUUUCGGGCCGGUACUUGACAUUAAGGCCCGAAGCCUGGGGAAGCAAACAGGAUAAAAUACCCUGGUAUUCCACGCCGUAAACAAUAAUUGCUAAUUGUAAAAGGGUUUCCGCCCUUUAUUGCUGCAGCUAACGCAUUAAGCACUCCGCCUGGGGAGUACGGCCGCAAGGCUGAAACUCAAAGGAAUUGACGGGGGCCCGCACAAGCGGUGGAACAUGUGGUUUAAUUCGAAGCAACGCGAAGAACCUUACCAGGUCUUGACAUCCUCUGACAACCCUAGAGAUAGGGCGUUCCCCUUCG